CAUGAAAGGGAAUUUAUUAUUGCCUCAAUUGAGAGUGUCAAAGGGUUGCUUUAAGUGAGAUAGAAAAACCUUAAGGAAAGUUCAUAGUAGGUCCUCAGUGGUGGAGGGAACCAUUCCAAAGCAGUGCCACCACACAUCUAAGGUCAGAUGUCUGACAGACUAAGUUGAGUCCUUAAGGGGGGAUGCUCUCAGGGAACCUAGUCUGGGCCCAGAAUUUUUCUCUGGGGACACCCGGGUAAAAUUUGGGUCGCCUAAUAAGCCCUCCACUUUUCAAAGUCCUCUUCUCUUUUCCAGAUCACUAUGGGCAAAUCUAUUCCACCUGUUUCCACUGUGGGCAGCUCCCCACCUAUUCCACCUGGUUCCCUGCUUGGCUACAUCAUCCACUGUUGGAAUCAAUUUGACCCUGACAAUCUAAAGAGAACAGAGACCAUCGAGCUUCAGAUGCUCGUGAAACAAGGUUUCCAGCCAGUUCCAGGUGAAGACACCACCCCCAGCCAUCAGGAAGCCACCUGGUCUCCACUAGACAGAGUAGGACAAAAGUUCCAUGAUCUCCAACAGACAAAGGUGCUGAGGCCCUGGACUUCCUGGUGUGCUGGACCACUGUCCCUUCUCAGGGCUAUGGGUGCCACCCAGAGCCUGGGGUCAGAGAGAGGCAGGCAGGCUGGACCCUAGCUCCUCUCUUAGGGCCAGGUAGGUGUAUUUCACUCCUCUAGGAAAAUAGUUUUCUACUACUAUGUAUGAUGCUUUUUUAUUAUGAAACUAAUGUUAGUUGUAGGUUUUUGUAGAUAUUCUUUAUCUCAAGUUGGGUAAGUUCCCCUCUAUUCCUAGUUUACUGAGCUC
rnacentral:lncRNA from 1 species